GCUGGGCAUGGUGGUGCACUCCAGUAAUCCCACUGCUGUGGGAGGCUGAGGCAGGAGGAUUGCAAGUUCAAAGGUAGCCUCAGCAACUUAGGGAGGCCCUAAGCAACUUAGUGAGACCCUGUCUCAA
rnacentral:sRNA from 1 species